AUGAGCCCCCCACCCCCCGAUUUGGGGCCAGAUGCCCUAAAAUGGCUCGACCAUAAAGAUAUGGCAGACGACAUUAUUCAUCCUCUCGUCCCUCGCGUCGCCCUCCCUGGCGACACGGGGAAAACCCUAGAUCGAGGCAACUCGCCCCUCUCUCCUCCCUCCCCUCGGCUCGCCGCCGCCGGAGGAGCGGCCGGCGAAGUCCGGGCCGGCUCCUGUGAAGGUGGCGGCGGGGCCCUUUUUCUUUUUUUGCCUGCAUGCUUGGCGCGACGGCUGCCGGAUGGCGCGCCUGCUGCCAUGGACGGCGCGGGAUGGGGCCAAGAUGGUGCAGGGGCUCGCGCUCGCGAGAUAUCCUGGGCGACGCUGUGGCCCUGGGUGGUGCAUGGUGGGAGGCUCGCUGCGGUUGUCGGGCCAGAUCUGGGCCUGACGGGCUGGCGGCCGGUGGAGCGGGCGCGGGAUGAGCGCGGUCGGUGCCCCCAGCACGGAUCUUCUAGGUGGCGGCGCCGGUGCGUGAGGAGGUUGGGCAACACGGCGAUGAGGAGCUCUGAGCCCGAUCUAAGUUUGGGCACUCCUGGAGCAGGGGCGUUGUCCAGCCUGUUGGUGCUUGAGGAGGCUCAGGCAAACCAGAUCCAGCACGGAGGUCCGGUCUUUGUGCACGGCGGUGCGAGCACGUUAAGUUUUGGCCUGAUUUUCACUUUGUUUCGGCGCGCGGCGGUGCGGGGCGGUCAGCUAUGGUUCUACUUCGGUCUUUCCUGUGCGAUGCGGUGCGAAUUCUUGCCCAGAUCUGCGCACAAAGCCGGAGGAUGGCCGGUGUCGAUUUGGUUCGCCCAGGUCCUGCGAGCGGCGGUGCGGACCGGUCAGUGUGUGUUUGGCCUUGUUCUGCCCGGUGGUGCUGGGUUGGUCUCGGAUCCUGGAUGGUUGGUGGAAGGCUUGGCUCCGGAUGACCUCGUCAAUGCCGACGGUAACGGCAUCUAUGGAUGUCGUCUUCUUCCUUGGAGGUGCCUCCGUGGAGCUCGUUGCUCUUCCUGCCUCAUGGCUGAGGCCUCCGGAUCUUGGGUUUGUGGUGGUGCUGGCGGGUUUCUGUUUUCUUUCUUUUCUUUCUGCACUAGCCCUUUUGCGGUGCUUUUCUCCUUUGGAGGUGUUCUUGUUACUCUUCUUCUGAACAAUGAAUUUGGCAGUGCUACUGCCAGCGUUCAAAAAAAAAUAAAGAUAUGGCAGGCAAAUCACCAAGCUCGGUCUGAAUAUUGUAGGCAUACACAUGGGCGCCAGACGGCAGGCGGUGAGCGGAGGAGCAGGGCAUGUGACUACGCGAGGCAACGGUGGAGCUUGGCUUGGCGUGGCUACAUAGGUUGUUUCGGAGCUGGUAGAAUAAGCAGGCGGAUGCAUGUUAUAGCUCAAUUGCCCAUGGGUAAAAGAAUCGAGCACGACCAUUCAAUGAACGAGGAGCUGGGCCAAGUAUACACGAUUCUCACGGAUAAGACUGGGACUUUGAGAGUACGUAUGAUGUGCAGUAUAAUGUACGAGAGGCUGUCAAACUCUCAGAGUACGUAUGGUGAAGCGACACAGAAGCACAUAAAUGAUUACGCUGAUGCUGGCCUGAGGACACUAGUUCUUGCAUACCGUCAACUUGAGGAGAUCGAAUACACUAAAUUCGAAAGGAACUUCACAGCAGCUAAGAAUUCUGUCAGCGCUGAUCGGGAUGAGCUGAUUGACGAAGCGACAGAUUUGAUAGAGAGGGAUUUGAUUCUGUUUGGAGCCGCCGCCGUUGAGGACAAGCUGCAAAAGGGGGCCGGCAUCAAGAUAUGGGUGCUGACGGGCGACAAGACGGAGACCGCCCUCAACAUCGGAUAUGCCUGCAGUCUACUCAGACAAGGGAUGAAACAAAUAACCAUCACACUGGAUACACCAGAUAUCAUUGCCUUGGAGAAAGGUGGUGACAAAGGAGCCAUUAAUAAGGUAGAUAAAGUAUUGCAGAUUAUAGUUACCGAGUCCUCUGUCUAG
rnacentral:rRNA from 1 species